CCUACGGGUGGCAGCAGUGAGGAAUAUUGGUCAAUGGACGAGAGUCUGAACCAGCCAAGUAGCGUGAAGGAUGACUGCCCUAUGGGUUGUAAACUUCUUUUAUAAAGGAAUAAAACGAGGCACGUGUGCCUUUUUGCAUGUACUUUAUGAAUAAGGAUCGGCUAACUCCGUGCCAGCAGCCGCGGUAAUACGGAGGAUCCGCGCGUUAUCCGGAUUUAUUUGGUUUAAAGGAAGCGUAGAUGGGUUGUUAAGUCAGUUGUGAAAGUUUGCGGCUCAACCGUAAAAUUGCAAUUGAUACUGGCAGUCUUGAGUACAGUUGAGGUAGGCGGAAUUCGUGGUGUAGCGGUGAAAUGCUUAGAUAUCACGAAGAACCCCGAUUGCGAAGGCAGCUUACUAAACUGUGACUGACAUUGAUGCUCGAAAGUGUGGGUAUCAAACAGGAUUAGAUACCCUUGUAGUC
rnacentral:rRNA from 1 species